rnacentral:rRNA from 1 species
AACGAACGCUGGCGGCAUGCCUAACACAUGCAAGUCGAACGAGACCACCGGGUCUAGUGGCGCACGGGUGCGUAACGCGUGGGAACCUGCCCUUAGGUUCGGAAUAACUCUCCGAAAGGGGUGCUAACACCGGAUAAUGUCUUCGGACCAAAGAUUUAUCGCCCUUGGAUGGGCCCGCGUUGGAUUAGCUUGUUGGUAGGGUAAAAGCCUACCAAGGCGACGAUCCAUAGCUGGUCUGAGAGGAUGGUCAGCCACACUGGGACUGAGACACGGCCCAGACUCCUACGCGAGGCAGCAAUGGGGAAUAUUGGACAAUGGGCGGAAGCCUGAAGCAGCAAUGCCGCGUGAGUGAUGAAGGCCUUAGGGUAGUAAAGCUCUUUUACCCGGGAUGAUAAUGACGGUACCGGGAGAAUAAGCUCCGGCUAACUCCGUG